rnacentral:rRNA from 1 species
AUGAACGCUGACAGAAUGCUUAACACAUGCAAGUCUUUGGCGAAGCUGUGCUUGCACAGCCUAGCCAAGGCGGACGGGUGAGUAACGCGUAAGGAACUUGCCCUGCAGUCAGGGAUAACAGACGGAAACGACUGAUAAGACCUGGUAAAGUCAGGCGGACUCAUGUCCAGCCUGAUGAAAAGAGAUGCUGCAGGAGAGCCUUGCGUCCUAUUAGCUUGUUGGUGGGGUAACGGCCCACCAAGGCGAUGAUAGGUAGCCGGCCUGAGAGGGUGGACGGCCACAAGGGGACUGAGAUACGGCCCUUACUCCUACGGGAGGCAGCAGUGGGGAAUAUUGGACAAUGGGGGCAACCCUGAUCCAGCAAUUCUGUGUGCACGAUGAAGGUUUUCGGAUUGUAAAGUGCUUUCAGCAGGGAAGAAAAAAAUGACGGUACCAGCAGAAGAAGCGACGGCUAAAUACGUG